rnacentral:lncRNA from 1 species
CCAGUAAAAAUGGCAUAAAGAUGGAUCAAGUAAUUUCUCUAUUUUGCCAUAUGAUGCCUUCUCUAGUGUGGGGAAGCGACGAAAGAAGUAACGAAGGAAAGAAGCAACGAAGGAAAGAAAGAAAGAAAGAAUGAAUGAAAGAAAGAAAGAAAGAAAGAAAGAAAGAAAGAAAGAAAGAAAGAAAGAAAGAAAGAAAGAAAGAAAGAAAGAAAGAAAGAAAGAAAGAAAGAAAGAAAGAAAGGAAGGAAGGAAGGAAGGAAGGAAGGAAGGAAGGAAGAGAGAAGGAAAGAAGAGAGAAAGAGAGAAAAAGAGAAAGAGAGAAAGAGAGAAAGAGAGAAAGAGAGAAAGAGAGAAAGAGAGAAAGAGAGAAAGAGAGAAAGAGAGAUAGAGAGAAAGUGAGAAAGAGAGAAAGAGAGAAAGAGAGAAAGAAAGAAAGAAAGAAAGAAAGUCUGAAAGUAAGAACGAAAGAACGACAGAAAGA